AUGAGAAGCAAAUUGUUUCUUGUUAUCCAAAAAAGAUUGCCACCAUGGCUAUACAGUAAUACAAUGAAUUUAUUCGUUGCUACAAAGAGAAAUGUCCAACACUGUCAAUUUUUGCAUGUCCAGCUUUCUCAGAAGAUGGCAUUAGGUAGUGUUCUUUCACGGCACUACUAUCUAUUUCAUGAGGAACCACUUGGCAGAUCUGUAGGAUCGCAAUGUUCAGCCUGGCUUCAAUCUUUGAUCUGGUGUAUGGGACAUUUGUACAAUACACAUAUGAAGAUAAGGGAGAAAGAGAUGUUUACUUGCUGUUCAAAAAGUUCUCUCACGUCACUUUUGGCCCAAGAGAAGAUAGAGUCCAAGUCUCUCACGUUCUGGACUCAGAUUCGGACUGCACAGACACACCUGAUUCAAAACGCCAAGAACUCUUUCAUCCGGACUCCGAAUUGGGUGAUUCUUUCACGCUCUUUCCAACCCAAUUGGAAUCACCUUAAAAUCCGUCCGGAGCGUUGA
rnacentral:rRNA from 1 species